rnacentral:rRNA from 1 species
CUCCCAAACCCCUGUGACAUACCACUUGUUGCCUCGGCGGAUCAGCCCGCUCCCGGUAAAACGGGACGGCCCGCCAGAGGACCCCUAAACUCUGUUUCUAUAUGUAACUUCUGAGUAAAACCAUAAAUAAAUCAAAACUUUCAACAACGGAUCUCUUGGUUCUGGCAUCGAUGAAGAACGCAGCAAAAUGCGAUAAGUAAUGUGAAUUGCAGAAUUCAGUGAAUCAUCGAAUCUUUGAACGCACAUUGCGCCCGCCAGUAUUCUGGCGGGCAUGCCUGUUCGAGCGUCAUUUCAACCCUCAAGCACAGCUUGGUGUUGGGACUCGCGUUAAUUCGCGUUCCUCAAAUUGAUUGGCGGUCACGUCGAGCUUCCAUAGCGUAGUAGUAAAACCCUCGUUACUGGUAAUCGUCGCGGCCACGCCGUUAAACCCCAACUUCUGAAUGUUGACCUCGGAUCAGGUAGGAAUACCCGCUGAACUUAAGCAUAUC